GACGAACGCGGCGGCGUGCCUAAUACAUGCAAGUAGAACGCUGAAGGAAGGAGCUUGCUCUUUCCGGAUGAGUUGCGAACGGGUGAGUAACGCGUAGGUAACCUGCCUGGUAGCGGGGGAUAACUAUUGGAAACGAUAGCUAAUACCGCAUAAUAUUGAUUAUUGCAUGAUAGUCAAUUAAAAGGUGCAAUUGCAUCACUCCCAGAUGGACCUGCGUUGUAUUAGCUAGUUGGUGGGGUAACGGCUCACCAAGGCGACGAUACAUAGCCGACCUGAGAGGGUGAUCGGCCACACUGGGACUGAGACACGGCCCAGACUCCUACGGGAGGCAGCAGUAGGGAAUCUUCGGCAAUGGACGGAAGUCUGACCGAGCAACGCCGCGUGAGUGAAGAAGGUUUUCGGAUCGUAAAGCUCUGUUGUAAGAGAAGAAACGAGUGUGAGAAGUGGAAA
rnacentral:rRNA from 1 species